UCUGGUUGAUCCUGCCAGUAGUCAUAUGCUUGUCUCAAAGAUUAAGCCAUGCAUGUCUAAGUAUAAGCAAUUUAUACAGUGAAACUGCGAAUGGCUCAUUAAAUCAGUUAUCGUUUAUUUGAUAGUUUCUUUACUACAUGGAAUACCUGUGGUAAUUCUAGAGCUAAUACAUGCUUAAAAUCCCAACUUACGAAGGGAUGUAUUUAUUAGAUAAAAAAUCAAUGUCUUCGGACUUCUGAUGAUUCAUAAUAACUUUUCGAAUCGCAUGGCUUUAUGCUGGCGAUGGUUCAUUCAAAUUUCUGCCCUAUCAACUUUUGAUGGUAGGAUAGUGGCCUACCAUGGUUUCAACGGGUAACGGGGAAUAAGGGUUCGAUUCCGGAGAGGGAGCCUGAGAAACGGCUACCACAUCCAAGGAAGGCAGCAGGCGCGCAAAUUACCCAAUCCUAAUUCAGGGAGGUAGUGACAAUAAAUAACGAUACAGGGCUUUAUGUCUUGUAAUUGGAAUGAGUACAAUUUAAAUACCUUAACGAGGAACAAUUGGAGGGCAAGUCUGGUGCCAGCAGCCGCGGUAAUUCCAGCUCCAAUAGCGUAUAUUAAAGUUGUUGCAGUUAAAAAGCUCGUAGUUGAACUUUGGGCUUGGAGAAUCGGUCCAACUUUGUUGUGUACUGUCUUCUCCAGGUCUUUCCUUCUGGUUCUCAUUUGGKGUUUACUCCAUUUGUUGAUCCAGGMUUUUUACUUUGAAAAAAUUAGAGUGUUCAAAGCAGGCGUUUUGCUCGAAUAUAUUAGCAUGGAAUAAUAGAAUAGGACGAUUGGUUCUAUUUUGUUGGUUUCUAGGACCAUCGUAAUGAUUAAUAGGGACGGUCGGGGGCAUCAGUAUUCAGUUGUCAGAGGUGAAAUUCUUGGAUUUACUGAAGACUAACUACUGCGAAAGCAUUUGUCAAGGACGUUUUCAUUAAUCAAGAACGAAAGUUAGGGGAUCGAAGAUGAUCAGAUACCGUCGUAGUCUUAACCAUAAACUAUGCCGACUAGGGAUCGGGCGGUGCCUUUUAUUGGCCCACUCGGCACCUUACGAGAAAUCAAAGUUUUUGGGUUCUGGGGGGAGUAUGGUCGCAAGGCUGAAACUUAAAGGAAUUGACGGAAGGGCACCACCCGGAGUGGMGCCUGCGGCUUAAUUUGACUCAACACGGGGAAMCUCACCAGGUCCAGACACAAGAAGCAUUGACAGCUUGAGAGCUCUUUCUUGAUUUUGUGGGUG
rnacentral:rRNA from 1 species